rnacentral:rRNA from 1 species
GUGGGGAAUAUUGGGCAAUGGGCGCAAGCCUGACCCAGCAACGCCGCGUGAAGGAAGAAGGCUUUCGGGUUGUAAACUUCUUUUACCAGGGACGAAACAAAUGACGGUACCUGGUGAAUAAGCCACGGCUAACUACGUGCCAGCAGCCGCGGUAAUACGUAGGUGGCGAGCGUUAUCCGGAUUUAUUGGGUGUAAAGGGCGUGUAGGCGGGACAGCAAGUCAGAUGUGAAAACCAGAGGCUCAACCUCUGGCCUGCAUUUGAAACUGUUGUUCUUGAGGGUCGGAGAGGUAAUCGGAAUUCCGUGUGUAGCGGUGAAAUGCGUAGAUAUACGGAGGAACACCAGUGGCGAAGGCGGAUUACUGGACGAUAACUGACGCUGAGGCGCGAAAGCGUGGGGAGCAAACAGGAUUAGAAACCCCGGUAGUCC